AUUGAACGCUAGCGGCAGGCUUAACACAUGCAAGUCGAGGGGUAGAUGGUGCUUGCACCAUUGAGACCGGCGCACGGGUGCGUAACGCGUAUGCAAUCUGCCUUUCACAAAGGGAUAGCCCAGAGAAAUUUGGAUUAAUACCUUAUAGCAUAUUGAUGUGGCAUCAUAUUAUUAUUAAAGAUUUAUCGGUGAAAGAUGAGCAUGCGUCCCAUUAGCUAGAUGGUAAGGUAACGGCUUACCAUGGCGACGAUGGGUAGGGGUCCUGAGAGGGAGAUGCCCCACAAUGGUACUGAGACACGGACCAGACUCCUACGGGAGGCAGCAGUGAUGAAUAUUGGACAAUGGGCGCAAGCCUGAUCCAGCCAUGCCGCGUGCAGGAUGACGGUCCUAUGGAUUGUAAACUGCUUUUAUACGGGAAGAAACCCCGGCUCGUGAGCCAGACUGACGGUACCGUAAGAAUAAGGAUCGGCUAACUCCGUGCCAGCAGCCGCGGUAACAC
rnacentral:rRNA from 1 species